rnacentral:rRNA from 1 species
ACUGCUCAGUAACACGUGGACAACCUGCCCAAAGGUCCGGGAUAACCCCGGGAAACUGGGGAUAAUACCGGAUAAAUCACAAGUACUGGAAGGUUUUGUGGUUGAAACUUCCGGGGCCUUUGGAUGGGUCUGCGGCGGAUUAGGUUGUUGCCGGUGUAACGUACCGUCAAGCCUGUAAUCCGUACGGGUUGUGGGAGCAAGAGCCCGGAGAUGGAUUCUGAGACACGAAUCCAGGCCCUACGGGGCGCAGCAGGCGCGAAAACUCUACAAUGCAGGCAACUGCGAUAGGGGAACAUCGAGUGAUACUCAUAUUGGGUGUCUGUCCCACCGUCUAAAAAACGGUGGUUAGCAAGGGCCGGGCAAGACCGGUGCCAGCCGCCGCGGUAAUACCGGCGGCUCGAGUGGUGGCCGAUAUUAUUGAGUCUAAAGGGUCCGUAGCCGGCUUUGCAAGUCUUUUGGGAAAUCCAGCGGCUUAACCGUUGGUCGUCCGGGAGAUACUACAUUGCUUGGGACUGGGAGAGGUAGGAGGUACUCAGGGGGUAGGAGUGAAAUCCUGUAAUCCUUUGGGGACCACCGGUGGCGAAGGCGUCCUACCAGAACAGGUCCGACGGUGAGGGACGAAAGCUAGGGGCACGAACCGGAUUAGAUACCCGGGUAGUCCUAGCCGUAAACGAUGCUCGCUAGGUGUCACAACAAUCGUGAAUUGUUGUGGUGCCGUAGGGAAGCCGUGAAGCGAGCCACUUGGGAAGUACGACCGCAAGGGUUGAAACUUAAAGGAAUUGGCGGGGGAGCAC